UUCCAAGAUCCAGAUCCCUACUCCCAGCUUUUUGAGGGUAUAUCUCAUUGGAGAUCACCCUAAGACUCCCGCUGACCAGCAUUGUACGAUAACAGCACGGUUUAGACUGGGCUUCAGAACGCUUAGGGUGUGGUAACUGGACAAUAAAGCGGCUACUGUGAACUCAGACGCUGCCGUGAGCAGCCACCUGAGGUCCACCCGGAAGUGCAGAACACGCCAGCGCCCCAGGGUUUCCCUCACACACACAGACGUGCAUGGAACGGAGGUUCAGAAUAAUUUCCUUCCUCUUUGUGGACUGCUACGAGUUCAGGAAAGCGCACUCCAAGACUGAAAUAAACCAUGCUGCUCAAAGUUUGCUGCCUCCAACUUCGAGCUGAAACGCCCGGGGUUCGUCCUUUCCCCGCGAUGGCAAAGUGCUUUGGAUCUGGGGGCGCCGCUUCUCCAGUUCAUACCUGGGUGGUCUGCAAGGCUUUGCUGGGUUCAAGAAGGAAAAGACAGAAGUGGGCGCUGGGGGAGCUUCUCUGGUGGAGAACGAUCGCUCCUACAGGCGGGUGAGACAGACACCCAGGGCUUGGUGGUCAAUGUAGCUGACAGUGAUGACGUCAAGGUUUGGGGAGAGAUAUGAAGGCUCCAAACAUAUGGAAACGAUCAGGAGAUGGAAAUGCUAAUUACCACGAUUUACACACUGGAUAAAUGCACAAAAGUAGCAUAUCACGCCCCAUAAAUAUGCAGUUAUCACAUGCUGUAUCCGGGUUUCGUCUGUGUGCGAAGAGCCAGGUGACUUCCUGGGCGGGGUCACAGGGUCACAGAGGCGGAGUCGGCCACUGCGACUUCUGCACAGAGCUAACUGCAUCACUGCUCCCUGGGAGAACCAUCUCGCUGCAGCUGCCAUUGUACCUGGACAUGGUUUCUCGCCAACCCUGCUCUACGCUUCAACCUGGGCUCCAAGCUCUUUUGGGUUCUGAUCCAGUUCUCUAUACAAUGAGCCUGUGAUCUCCUACAAAUGAAAAAUAGUCACCGUCCUGUCUCCCAGGCCUAGAGAUGCAAUUGCUCCAUCAAAAGAACCUCAACCAAUCAUGCUGUUUUCAACUUUGUACUGAACUCUGCUUUCUGGUACCUAUGCCUCCAAGUCCUGAACUUCUCAGGAGAGCAGAUCUGCUUCGUCAUUAAGUUUUCCCCUCUGCAGAUACAGGUGGAAGUUUUUCUCUUCUUGGCUAAGUACUUGAGGAUUGAACCCAGGGCCUUCGCACGGAGCUACAUUUCCACACUGUUUUUAUUUCGACCCCUUUUCUGAGACAGAGUCUUGCUAAGUGGCUCAGUGGCCCAGGCUGGGCUUGAACUUGCGACCCUCCUGCCUCAGCCUCCCAGACCACACCAUCAUGCCCAUCCAUGUCCGCCACGGUCUAACGAUGUGACCUUCAGCAAGCUUCUCCGUGAGGCGGAAAUUCAGCCCUCCCUCCUCGCUGCUCAGCAUGGCGUGAUUCCCCAGGCAAGCUUGCUCCACGGGAUGUGUUCUAGCCCGGCCCAAGUAUGUGCCGCUCUGGGCCGCAUAGGGAAAACAUCUACACUAUUCCAAACGCACCAAAUGUUUUAAGCGGUUAUUGUCCAAAUGUUUAUUUUUUUUCCCCCGAUGCUGGGAUGGAGCCCAGGGCCACUCUUCCACCAGCUACAUCCCCAAGCCCUUUUUCCCUGGGUCAAGGUCUUGGGCCUGGGACUCGUCAUCCUCCUGACUCAGCCUCCAGAGUAGCUGAAAUUCCUGGCGAGCUCUGCUUCGCCUUGAGGUCCAAAUCACUUUGGAAACCAAUCUUUAUUUUGUUCCAAUUAUAAAUACCCCGGGUGUUUUAGGAACUGGGAAAUGCAGAAUAUCUGCUAUUAUAGACGCGGCAGUUAUUUGAAGAGCUGGGAAGAGCAGAACGCUCGGCGCGCGCUCUGCCGCUCUUGUUCUCCGUGGCCUUGUUCCCCACAGCUCAGACGCGCACAGCUGGGUGUCCGCCGACCGGGUGGGCGAGAAGAGGGAGCAGCCCACGCCCUGCGGAGCGUCCUUCAGCCCGGAGGGAAUCCUGAUGUCUGCGAUGGCGCAGGAGGUCUCGCGAGAGGCCGGAAAAGCAGACGCUGCGGCCUCAUUUACCUGUGGCACUGACAGCACCGAAGGCUGUAACUCAAGACUGUGUAAGUCAAAACUAAAAUUCCGGUUGUAACCCAAGUUGUUUGUAUGUCAGGAGGUUGUUACUCGAGUGUCCACUGUAUGCUCUAGGAUGAGCAGGCCCUGGGGUCUGGGACGGCCCGGGGGAA